rnacentral:rRNA from 1 species
GACGAACGCUGGCGGCGUGCCUAAUACAUGCAAGUAGGACGCUGAAGGAGGAGCUUGCUUCUCUGGAUGAGUUGCGAACGGGUGAGUAACGCGUAGGUAACCUGCCUGGUAGCGGGGGAUGACUAUUGGAAACGAUAGCUAAUACCGCAUAAUAGUAGAUGUUGCAUGACAUUUGCUUAAAAGGUGCAAUUGCAUCACUACCAGAUGGACCUGCGUUGUAUUAGCUAGUUGGUGGGGUAACGGCUCACCAAGGCGACGAUACAUAGCCGACCUGAGAGGGUGAUCGGCCACACUGGGACUGAGACACGGCCCAGACUCCUACGGGAGGCAGCAGUAGGGAAUCUUCGGCAAUGGACGGAAGUCUGACCGAGCAACGCCGCGUGAGUGAAGAAGGGUUUCGGAUCGUAAAGCUCUGUUGUAAGAGAAGAACGAGUGUGAGAGUGGAAAGUUCACACUGUGACGGUAUCUUACCAGAAAGGGACGGCUAACUACGUG